rnacentral:rRNA from 1 species
UACGGGGGGGGCAAGCGUUGUUCGGAAUUACUGGGCGUAAAGGGCUCGUAGGCGGCCAACUAAGUCAGACGUGAAAUCCCUCGGCUUAACCGGGGAACUGCAUCUGAUACUGGAUGGCUUGAGUUCGGGAGAGGGAUGUGGAAUUCCAGGUGUAGCGGUGAAAUGCGUAGAUAUCAGGAGGAACACCGGUGGUGUAGACGGCUCUCUGGACCGUAACUGACGCUGAGACACGAAAGCGUGGGGAGCAAACAGG